rnacentral:rRNA from 1 species
GAUGAACGCUGGCGGCGUGCCUAAUACAUGCAAGUCGAGCGAACAGACGAGGAGCUUGCUCCUCUGACGUUAGCGGCGGACGGGUGAGUAACACGUGGAUAACCUACCUAUAAGACUGGGAUACUUCGGGAAACCGGAGCUAAUACCGGAUAAUAUAUUGAACCGCAUGGUUCAAUAGUGAAAGACGGUUUUGCUGUCACUUAUAGAUGGAUCCGCGCCGCAUUAGCUAGUUGGUAAGGUAACGGCUUACCAAGGCAACGAUGCGUAGCCGACCUGAGAGGGUGAUCGGACACACUGGAACUGAGACACGGUCCAGACUCCUACGGGAGGCAGCAGUAGGGAAUCUUCCGCAAUGGGCGAAAGCUUGACGGAGCAACGCCGCGUGAGUGAUGAAGGUCUUCGGAUCGUAAAACUCUGUUAUUAGGGAAGAACAAAUGUGUAAGUAACUAUGCACGUCUUGACGGUACCUAAUCAGAAAGCCACGGCUAACUACGUG